UCUGGGGGUGGCUGUGUGUCACCCAGGGGUUCACCCCGCCUUCCUCCUCCUCCUCCUCGGGGCGGGGCGGGGCGGGCUGCCGGCGGCUCCCCCGGGACACCGCCUCCCCCCGGCCCGGCCCCGGCGGCGGAGGCGGGCACGGCUGCACCUGCCGGCUCGGCACGGCACGGCACGGCACGGCACGGCUCAGCCCAGCCAUGCCGGCAGCCACGGCGCCGGGCCCGGAGGUGCCGCGGAGCGCUGCGCCCGGGCGGGACGGCGGCGGCCCCCCCCGCGGCUACACAGGUACGGAGGGAUGCGGCCGGGCCCUCCUUUAGGGCACGGGGCGGGACCCCCGGGAGGGGUUUGGGGUCUCCUGUCCCGCUCCGAAGGCUGCGGGAACCCCCGUCGAGGGGCUGCGGCUGCCGCAGGGGUGGACUCCCCUCAGCCGCCCCCUCCCCGCAGCACCCCCCAAGCUCUGGGGGCACCCCGGGGGGUGGCGAGGUCCCCGCCGUGCUCGCAAGGGGCUCGGAGCUGGGCAAGAGAAGGGAGACUUUAUGGGGCCGGCGGCUCGGAGCUGGGCAGCAGCCGGGGGAGUUCGCGGGGCUCGGAGCUCACUCGCCGGAGCACGACCCGAAGGGAGCGGCUCGGCACGGUUUGUGCUGCCGGGAGCUGCCGGCCCCGAGCCCAGCUAGCCUCCCGGCGGGUGUGAAACGGCCCGGGGAGAAAAUGGAGCCCCGGGUGUUCCGCUCUAAUAGGGUGAUGCACCGAGGGGCGGAAUGGGAAACGAAUCAAAGCUCUCUUGCUUCCUCUUCUUCCCCCUUCCACCCCAGUGUCGUUGCCCAACCUGGGCAGGGGAGCACGUUUCCAGAGCUCCUUGGCUGGGCUGGGAGCGGUGAACUUGCUGGCGACAGGAGCCGAAGGGGCUCUGGCCCUAGCACAGGUGGGACGCGCAUGCUGCACCUGGGCUGUCACCUCUGCAACUUUCAAGGGCUGGGGGACACAGAGGGGUCCUGCUGCCCACGGCGGUGCUGGAUCGGGCUCCAGCAGCUGCCUGCUUGCAGCCCCGGCGAGCUCUGA
rnacentral:lncRNA from 1 species